CCUACGGGCGGCAGCAGUAGGGAAUAUUGCUCAAUGGGGGAAACCCUGAAGCAGCAACGCCGCGUGAAGGAUGAAGGUUUUCGGAUUGUAAACUCCUUUUGUUAGAGAAGAUAAUGACGGUAUCUGACGAAUAAGCACCGGCUAACUCCGUGCCAGCAGCCGCGGUAAUACGUAGGGUGCAAGCGUUACUCGGAAUCACUGGGCGUAAAGAGCGCGUAGGCGGGAUAGCAAGUCAGAUGUGAAAUCCUAUGGCUUAACCAUAGAACAGCCUUUGAAACUGGUAUUCUUGAGUGUGGGAGAGGUAGGUGGAAUUCUUGGUGUAGGGGUAAAAUCCGUAGAGAUUAAGAGGAACACUAGUUGCGAAGGCGACCUGCUAGAACAUAACUGACGCUGAUGCGCGAAAGCGUGGGGAGCAAACAGGAUUAGAUACCCGAGUAGUC
rnacentral:rRNA from 1 species